rnacentral:lncRNA from 1 species
AACACCUUCCACACCUAUAAUUUUUGCAAGAGCCUCAGAAAAAGAAUAGCACCAUAGCUGAAACAAUGGUUGAGACGUCACAAAAUUGGAUAAAUACAGUAAUUUUGAGUGAAUUUCCCAAGUUAAAGAAAAUCAGAAACAGUAACUUCCGUUUUUGAACUCAUGACCAUCAAAAGCUGAAUCAUGUGAAUCACUCAAUACCGUAAUUUCAAAGAAUUCAUUGCAAAUAAAAAAACUCUGGCACAUGCCUCCAAUAUCUGAAAAAAUAUAUUGUGCACAUACACAUUGAAUGCAUUUGCAGAUGUAUCAUAUAUAAAUACACAAUGUAAAUACGCAUAUGCACAUAAAUGUAAUGAUUACUGUGUGUGAAGAGUAUUGUUUAAUGAAAAAAAUGUAAACCAUCAACUUGUAACGUUAUUUAAAGGUUCUUGGUAAAAAAAAAAGCAAACAUGCUUGAGUUCCUAUAAAAAAGCCAAAGUAUAUUUGGAUGUUCGAUUGCUCUGCAUUAUUUAUAUGAUUGUAUCUGAUAUUCUUUUUCUUGUUUUAAAGUCAGCACCUGAAACACUCCUGAAAAGGGCAAAUUCUUUGUACCUUACCUUUAAAGGGCUGAACCACAAUGCACAGCUCAGCCUUAUCCUAGACAGCCUCCAAGCUGAGAAGCCAACAAACCAAACAACCAAGAUUGUAAACAAGUAGGAGGAGAAAGAUAUGAGUGUUUAUUACAUACAAGAAACAAAAAAUUGAAUUCUACAGCUGUUGCAGAGAAAGCAGCUGAAUCUGCUGAAGGCAGCUGAAGUUGUUUAGAGCAGAUGUAGUGUGUUAACCACUGAGAUGUUUCUUGCCUAGAUGGAAAAAGAUUUUAUACUGACUGUCAUUCAGGACAUUUCAUGAAGAGUACCUCCCAGAUUGGAAAUAAUUUGCUAUUGCAUAGCAUUAGAUAAGUGGGUGAAAAGGCACAGCCUGCGUCAGGCAAUACCUAGUUUGCACAAAGAUAGCUUUGAAAUUGAGGAUGGAUUCAGAUGAAGAAUAAGUAAAAACAAACUUAAAUUUUGAUAAUUCCUCUGAGAAAUGUAAGAAAACUUCAAAGGAAAAGCAAUAGGAAUUAUAUCAUUCAAUAAUAGGAUGUUGAUUCUUCAGUAAGACAUGAAGUGUUGGAAAACACUACAAAUUCAUGCCCAAAAGAGGGUUAUCUAGUGACCUCAUACUUCACAGUUACUUUUGUGCAGACAGUGAGGGAGCAAGAAAGAAACAGCAUUCCUGAACUGCAGAAAACAAGCUACUGCUGUCACAGAGAGCCUGUGGAUGAAACCAUUCCCAUGCUAAUGAAAUAGUGAAUCUACAGAAGAGCCUUUUCUCCAAGAUGAACAGAAAGGCUUCAGUUGACUUCGCUGGUUCAAACUUUUGCACAAUGGCUGUAGAAUAAUGGACUAAGUGAAUGGAAGAUGAAUAAAUGGUAAAUGGGCAAAAAAUGACUGAAUAAAGUCAUGACAAGGUACAAUCUC